rnacentral:rRNA from 1 species
UACGUAGGCAGCAAGCGUUGUUCGGAAUUACUGGGCGUAAAGAGUGUGUAGGCGGUGCUCUAAGUUCGUUGUGAAAUCUCCCGGCUUAACUGGGAGGGUGCGGCGGAAACUGGAGUGCUUGAGCGCGGGAGAGGAAAGCGGAAUUCCUGGUGUAGCGGUGAAAUGCGUAGAUAUCAGGAGGAACACCUGUGGUGUAGACGCUUUCUGGACCGUAGCUGACGCUGAGACACGAAAGCGUGGGUAGCAAACAAG